rnacentral:rRNA from 1 species
GGGGUUUUUUUUAUUUUGGGGGGGGGGGCCAAACAUGCAAGUCGAGCGAAUGGAUUAAGAGCUUGCUCUUAUGAAGUUAGCGGCGGACGGGUGAGUAACACGUGGGUAACCUGCCCAUAAGACUGGGAUAACUCCGGGAAACCGGGGCUAAUACCGGAUAACAUUUUGAACCGCAUGGUUCGAAAUUGAAAGGCGGCUUCGGCUGUCACUUAUGGAUGGACCCGCGUCGCAUUAGCUAGUUGGUGAGGUAACGGCUCACCAAGGCAACGAUGCGUAGCCGACCUGAGAGGGUGAUCGGCCACACUGGGACUGAGACACGGCCCAGACUCCUACGGGAGGCAGCAGUAGGGAAUCUUCCGCAAUGGACGAAAGUCUGACGGAGCAACGCCGCGUGAGUGAUGAAGGCUUUCGGGUCGUAAAACUCUGUUGUUAGGGAAAAACAAGUGCUAGUUGAAUAAGCUGGCACCUUGACGGUACCUAACCAGAAAGCCACGGCUAACUACGUGCCAGCAGCCGCGGUAAUACGUAGGUGGCAAGCGUUAUCCGGAAUUAUUGGGCGUAAAGCGCGCGCAGGUGGUUUCUUAAGUCUGAUGUGAAAGCCCACGGCUCAACCGUGGAGGGUCAUUGGAAACUGGGGAGACUUGAGUGCACAAGAGGAAAGUGGAAUUCCAUGUGUACCGGUGAAAAUGCGGCAGAGAUGUGGAGGAACACCAGUGGCGCAGGGCGACUUUCUGGUGUGUUACUGACACUGAGGCGCGUAAAGCGUGGGGGAGGCACACCAGCAGUAAAUAGACCUGGUAGUUCAACCCCCGACAAAAAUGAGUGCGUAGC